CAAAGGCUUGGUCCUGACUUUACUGUCGGCUCUAGCUAGACUUACACAUGCAAGUAUCCGCACCCCUGUGAGAAUGCCCUCCAGUCUCCCGCCCGGAGACAAGGAGCCGGUAUCAGGCACGGUUAACACCAGCCCAUGACACCUUGCUUAGCCACACCCUCAAGGGACACCAGCAGUGAUAAAUAUUAAGCUAUAAGUGAAAACUUGACUUAGUCAAAGCUUAGAGGGCCGGUAAAACUCGUGCCAGCCACCGCGGUUAUACGAGAGGCCCAAGUUGACAGACUACGGCGUAAAGAGUGGUUAGGGAAACUUUUAAACUAAGGCCGAACGUCCUCAAAGCUGUUUAACGCUUCCGAGUUAAGAAGAUCCAUUACGAAAGUAGCCUUACCCAACCUGACCCCACGAAAGCUGUGAAACAAACUGGGAUUAGAUACCCCACUAUGCUCAGCCCUAAAAUUUGAUAGGCCAACUACGCCCCCUAUCCGCCCGGGUACUACGAGCAUCAGCUUAAAACCCAAAGGACUUGGCGGUGCUUCACAUCCGUCUAGAGGAGCCUGUUCUAGAACCGAUAACCCCCGUUAAACCUCACCCUCCCUUGUUAAUACCGCCUAUAUACCGCCGUCGUCAGCCUACCCUGUGAAGGACUAGAAGUGAGCAAGAUUGGUAAGACCCAAAACGUCAGGUCGAGGUGUAGUGUAUGAGAGGGGAAGAAAUGGGCUACAUUUCCUAAAUCAGGAAAUACGAACAAUGAACUGAAAUGAGCAUUAGAAGGUGGAUUUAGCAGUAAGCAGUAAAACAGAGUGUUCUGCUGAAAUUUGGCAAUAAAGCACGCACACACCGCCCGU
rnacentral:ncRNA from 1 species